AAUGAAAAGGCCAAUCGAUAUAUACUUCAAGACCCUUUAAAUUGCUCUUGCCUCGUUUUCACUCGGUAGUGAGAUUCAAUACCUUCUUCGAACAAAGUGCUUUUUUCUUCUUCUGCAUCGUUGCUUCUUCUGUGCCGUUGCUCG